rnacentral:rRNA from 1 species
UACGAAGGGGGCUAGCGUUGUUCGGAAUUACUGGGCGUAAAGCGCACGUAGGCGGAUAUUUAAGUCAGGGGUGAAAUCCCCGGGGGCUCAACCCCCGGAACUGCCUUUGAUACUGGGUAUCUCGAGUCCGAGAGAGGUGAGUGGAAUUCCGAGUGUAGAGGUGAAAUUCGUAGAUAUUCGGAGGAACACCAGUGGCGAAGGCGGCUCACGUGGCUCGGUAC